rnacentral:rRNA from 1 species
AACGAACGCUGGCGGCAUGCCUAACACAUGCAAGUCGAACGAGACCUUCGGGUCUAGUGGCGCACGGGUGCGUAACGCGUGGGAAUCUGCCCUUGGGUUCGGAAUCACAGUGAGAAAUUACUGCUAAUACCGGAUGAUGUCUUCGGACCAAAGAUUUAUCGCCCAGGGAUGAGCCCGCGUAGGAUUCGCUAGUUGGUGGGGUAAUGGCCUACCAAGGCGACGAUCCUUAGCUGGUCUGUGAGGAUGAUCAGCCACACUGGGAAUGAGACACGGCCCAGACCGGUACGGGGGGCAGCAGUGGAGAAUAUUGGGCGAUGAGCGCAAGCCUGGUCCAGCAAUGCCGCGUGAGUGAUGAAGGCCGUAGGGUUGUGAAGCUCUUUUACCCGGGAUGAUAAUGACAGUACCGGGAGAAUAAGCUCCGGCUAACUCCGUG